GGGAUUGCCCUAGUAACGGCGAGUGAAGCGGCAACAGCUCAAAUUUGAAAUCUGGCGCAAGCCCGAGAUGUAAUUUGUAGAGGAUGCUUCUGGGUAGCGACCGAUCUAAGUUCCUUGGAACAGGACGUCAUAGAGGGUGAGAAUCCCGUAUGUGACCGGCCCGCACCCUUCACGUAGCUCCUUCGACGAGUCGAGUUGUUUGGGAAUGCAGCUCUAAAUGGGAGGUAAAUUUCUUCUAAAGCUAAAUACCGGCCAGAGACCGAUAGCGCACAAGUAGAGUGAUCGAAAGAUGAAAAGUACUUUGGAAAGAGAGUUAAAAAGCACGUGAAAUUGUUGAAAGGGAAGCGCCUGCAACCAGACUUCGUGGCAGUGUUCCGCCGGUCUUCUGACCGGUUCAUUCUCUGUCGCGAGGCCAUCAUCGUCUCGGCCCGCCGGAUAAGACCUUGGGAAUGUAGCUCCCCUUCGGGGGAGUGUUAUAGCCCAUGGUGAUGCGGCGAGGCUGGGGCGAGGUCCGCGCUUCGGCAAGGAUGAUGGCGUAAUGGUUGUCGGCGGCCCGUCUUGAAACACGGACCAAGGAGUCUAACAUCUAUGCGAGUGUUCGGGUGUCAAACCCCUACGCGUAAUGAAAGUGAAUGGAGGUGGGAACCGCAAGGUGCACCAUCGACCGAUCCUGAUGUCCUCGGAUGGAUUUGAGUAAGAGCAUAGCUGUUGGGACCCGAAAGAUGGUGAACUAUGCCUGGAUAGGGUGAAGCCAGAGGAAACUCUGGUGGAGGCUCGCAGCGGUUCUGACGUGCAAAUCGAUCGUCAAAUUUGGGUAUAGGGGCG
rnacentral:rRNA from 1 species